rnacentral:lncRNA from 1 species
AUGGGAUUCCAUGGACAGAGAUCUGAUUGGAGCUCUCCUGCAGUCUCUUCCAGGUCCUGGGAUCCUCCUGUGACAUUGCUUGGAGAUACGCCCUGCUGGGAGGGCUUGCAUCAUGAAGGCGAGAUUUGGAGACUGAGGCCCCAAAGUGCAGGGAACCAGUGUCUGGAUGGGCGGGUCCUUCCAAGCCUGGGCCAUCUGAGCUCUGCAGAGAGACCCUGGGAACAAAGGCAUAUCAAUAGGAAAGAGCAUGUCAGCCUUGUGAUGCAAACAAAACAGAAACUUCUGUCUCUGCGUCUUGUGGCCGUCUGCUUGCCUCAAUGGAGCUCAGCCACGCCUGAAGUGCCACAGACCUCCUUCCUGUGCGCCUCUGGAGAGCUAGCUGCUGAGAGGUCAAUGGAUGCUCUGCCAGGGCAUUUUGAGGGCUUCCAUGUGGAGGAGGAAGAUGACAAUGACUGUGGAAGCAGAGGGUUGUCUUGGAAAUGCGCCUGUCCCGGCUUGUUGCAACCUGGGCUCUGGGCUGGCUUUGCAUGGGUGUGCCUUGCACUGGCUCUCGGCUUCACCACUUGUCAAGGGGAAGGAUGAACCGAGAUGGGCGUCUUUCUUCCCCACCAUUCUGUGCCUUGGCUUUCGCUGUCCAGUGUGAAGGAUAACUUGGGCUUUUCCUGCCUUCCAGAGCUGCUGUGAACACUGUAUGAGAUAACGGGCUCCGAAUAACGUUGGUAGCAGCUAUUGCCUGGAUGGCUACUACAUGUCUGACAGCAGCGUGGAUGAGGGCAAGGGAACUGACCAUUAUUGGACAUCCCCUUUGCAAUUGGGCAAAGAGGCUUAUGUGUGUUGUCUCGUUUAACCCUCCAACAACACUGUGAGGAAGACGAAGCAUCCUGACCUCACAGGUGAGGAAACUUGAGUGUAGAUAUAUUGUCACCUGCUUAGCCGCACAUUGGGAGGUGACAGCCCCAAGAUUGGUAGCCUUGGUCUAUCUGCCUUUGAAGCUCAUGGCAUGUCCUUGUAUGUGAGGUUGCUCCUGGCCCAUUGGGGAACUUUAUCGCAUCCAAGAACUGCCAGCAUGGUCUCCGCAUCUGGUGAUCCUGGACGACCAGGAUCAGUAGAGGUGCUGUGCCAGCUGGGAGGCACCUGCCCUGCCUCUGUCCAGGUCGGCUGAGAAGGGCCUGGGUCACCUGCUACAGGGUGGUGGGAGUCCUGGGUGCUCCGGGGUCUGCCAGCAACCCCAGGGCCAGAGGGUCUUGCUGCCCGUCCUGAGAAGCCAGCAAAUGUGUCCAGGCCCACAGCUCGGCACUGGCAGUUCUUUCUGCUCCUGUCUUUUCCUGUCCUACCCACCUGCUCAUCUCGCUUUCACACACAAAGGCUCCCCCUGCCCUCCCCUUUUCCCUCCUCACUCCCUUCCCUGGCUUUUGCACUUUAUGAUGUGGGGACUUUGGUGAGGAAGCUCAAUAGAGUCAUUAUUCCAUGUACAGAAAGGUGUCUUUCAUCCCAUUCAUAUUUCAUGUUCCUCCCACUUGAUCUUUUGACACUUUUUAAUUCCUGAUAUUAUACCAUGCGCACUCACAGCUCUCAUCCACGA